rnacentral:rRNA from 1 species
GAAAUGUUUAUUCAUUAAUUUUAAUAAAAAUAAUUUUAUUUAUUUAUAUUUUUAGUAUAUUUUAUAGAAAAAAUUUAAUUAAUUAUAGUUUAAUAGUAUUGUAAAAGAUAAUUGAAAAAAAAAAUUAAUUUUGAAAAAGUAAAAUUAAUUUUUUGUACCUUGUGUAUCAGGGUUUAUUAAAUAAAUAUUAAUUAUUAUAAUUUUCUCGAUUUUAAGAGAGCUAAUAAGUUAUUUUUUUUAUUGUAAAAAAAAUAUUUAUAAUAAUUUAUUAGUAAUGAAAUGUUAUUCGUUCUUAAAUAUAUCUAGUUUAUUUAGAAAUGAAUUUAAUUCAGAUAUUUAUAUUUUAAUUAGUUAAUUUAUUAAUUAAUUAAAUUUUAAUAUUAAUAAUUAAAGGGAUUAGCUUUUAAUUAAAAUUUUAUAAUUAAAUAAAAUAUUUUAAAAAAUGUAGAUUUAGAAAUAGUCAUCAAUAAUAAAUUGUUAUAAUUAAUUUAGUUUAAAAUAUUAUUUUAGAUUAUUUUAAUUUUUUUAUAAAUAAAUAAUUUUAAAUUAUUUAAAAUUAGAUAUUAUGAUAAAAUUAGUAUAUAUUGAAUAUUUAAAUAAUAAAAUUUUAAAGAUUAUUUAAAGGAAUUCGGCAAAAAUUUUACUCGCCUGUUUAACAAAAACAUGUCUUUUUGUAUUAAAUUUAAAGUCUGGCCUGCCCACUGAAAAAUUUUAAAUGGCCGCAGUAAUUUGACUGUGCAAAGGUAGCAUAAUCAUUAGUUUUUUAAUUAAAAGCUUGUAUGAAAGGUUGGACGAAGUAAAUUCUGUCUCUAUUUAAUUUAAAUUAGAAAUUAAUUUUUAAGUUAAAAAGCUUAAAUAUAUAUAAAAGACGAGAAGACCCUAUAGAGCUUUAUAAUUUUUAUUAUAUAAUAAAUUAAGAUUUAUUUAAGUUUUAUAAUUAAAAUUAUUUUAUUGGGGUAAUAAAAAGAUAAAUAUAAUUCUUUUUUUUUAUUUACAUUAAUUUAUGGUUUAAUGAUCCAUUUUUUAUGAUUAUAAGAUUAAGUUACCUUAGGGAUAACAGCGUAAUUUUUUUAAAGAGUUCAUAUCGAUAAAAAAGUUUGCGACCUCGAUGUUGGAUUAAAGAUUAUUUUAGGUGUAGAAGUUUAAAUUUUUGGUCUGUUCGACCAUUAAAUCUUUACAUGAUCUGAGUUCAGACCGGUGUAAGCCAGGUCGGUUUCUAUCUUUAUUAAAUUAAAAUAUUUUAGUACGAAAGGACCAAAUAUUUAAUAUAUUUAUAUUUUAUUUUUGAAUAUU